GAUGAACGCUAGCGGCAGGCCUAACACAUGCAAGUCGAGGGGUAGAAUUAGCUUGCUAAUUUGAGACCGGCGCACGGGUGCGUAACGCGUAUGCAAUCUGCCUUGUACUGAGGGAUAGCCCAGAGAAAUUUGGAUUAAUACCUCAUAGCAUUAUGAAAUCGCAUGGUUUAUAAUUAAAGUUCCAACGGUACAAGAUGAGCAUGCGUCCCAUUAGUUAGUUGGUAAGGUAACGGCUUACCAAGACGAUGAUGGGUAGGGGUCCUGAGAGGGAGAUCCCCCACACUGGUACUGAGACACGGACCAGACUCCUACGGGAGGCAGCAGUGAGGAAUAUUGGUCAAUGGGCGCAAGCCUGAACCACGCCAUGCCGCGUGCAGGAUGACGGUCCUAUGGAUUGU
rnacentral:rRNA from 1 species